UAGGGAAUCUUCGGCAAUGGACGGAAGUCUGACCGAGCAACGCCGCGUGAGUGAAGAAGGUUUUCGGAUCGUAAAGCCCUGUUGUAAGAGAAGAACGAGUGUGAGAGUGGAAAGUUCACACUGUGACGGUAUCUUACCAGAAAGGGACGGCUAACUACGUGCCAGCAGCCGCGGUAAUACGUAGGUCCCGAGCGUUGUCCGGAUUUAUUGGGCGUAAAGCGAGCGCAGGCGGUUAGAUAAGUCUGAAGUUAAAGGCUGUGGCUUAACCAUAGUACGCUUUGGAAACUGUUUAACUUGAGUGCAAGAGGGGAGAGUGGAAUUCCAUGUGUAGCGGUGAAAUGCGUAGAUAUAUGGAGGAACACCGGUGGCGAAAGCGGCUCUCUGGCUUGUAACUGACGCUGAGGCUCGAAAGCGUGGGGAGCAAACAGGAUUAGAUACCCUGGUAGUCCACGCCGUAAACGAUGAGUGCUAGGUGUUAGACCCUUUCCGGGGUUUAGUGCCGUAGCUAACGCAUUAAGCACUCCGCCUGGGGAGUACGACCGCAAGGUUG
rnacentral:rRNA from 1 species